rnacentral:rRNA from 1 species
GGUGAACGCUGGCGGCGUGCUUAAGACAUGCAAGUCGAACGGCAGUCUUCGGACUGUAGUGGCGCACGGGUGAGUAACGCGUAACUGACCUACCCCAAAGUCGCGGAUAACGAUUCGAAAGAAUCGCUAAUACGUGAUGUGCUGUCAGAUUGUGUUCUGCCAGUAAAGAUUGAUUGCUUUGGGAUGGGGUUGCGUUCCAUCAGCUAGUUGGUGGGGUAAAGGCCCACCAAGGCGACGACGGAUAGCCGGCCUGAGAGGGUGGCCGGCCACCGGGGCACUGAGACACGGGUCCCACUCCUACGGGAGGCAGCAGUUAGGAAUAUUCCACAAUGGGCGAAAGCCUGAUGGAGCGACGCCGCGUGAGGGAUGAAGGUCUUCGAAUCGUAAACCUCUGAAUCAGGGACGAAAGACACUUCGGUGGGAUGACGGUACCUGAGUAAUAGCACCGGCUAACUCCGUGCCAGCCGCCGCCGUAAUAC